rnacentral:rRNA from 1 species
CAUACCUAUUCGAAGGGAUAGGGUCGGUUCGGCCGGAUUUUACACAAGUGUUGCAUGGCUGUCGUCAGCUCGUGUCGUGAGAUGUUGGGUUAAGUCCCGCAACGAGCGCAACCCUCAUCCUUAGUUGCUAUCAGGUAAUGCUGAGUACUUUAAGGAAACUGCCAGUGAUAAGCUGGAGGAAGGUGGGGAUGAUGUCAAGUCAUCAUGGCCUUUAUGGAGUGGGCUACACACGUGCUACAAUGGUGUCUACAAUGGGCUGCAAGGUGCGCAAGCCUAAGCUAAUCCCUAAAAGACAUCUCAGUUCGGAUUGUACUCUGCAACUCGAGUACAUGAAGUUGGGAUCGCUAGUAAUCGUGGAUCAGCAUGCCACGGUGAAUACGUUCUCGGGUCUUGUACACACUGCCCGUCACGCCAUGGGAAUUGGUUUCACUCGAAGCU